CAUUGGCCCGAUUGAAGCUGAGUCAAGCUACAUGUUUGACGGCAGUCAAAGCGCGGCCUACACUAAGCUUUGAUAUUAUGGUCGCCCAACAUAUAAUUAAUAUAUGAUCGUGCAUUACCCAUAUCAAAUACAAGU